rnacentral:lncRNA from 11 species
CUUAACCUUAAAGUGGUAAAAAAAAUCUGGUAGCUAAGCCAAACCAAAUUAAGAUGGAGAUAUAAGGUAGGGAUUGAAAAUAUAUUCCAAAAAAAUUGUUUGAAAAAUAUUGGAAAAAGGAUUACUUUGGCUUCAUGAAAUCCAGAGGAGAAGAGUACUAGACGGGUAAAAAUCUUCAUAGUUCAGGAUUGUUGUGGCAUUGCAGAUAUCAUCUCAUAUACCUCCAACAGGCACUCAUGAAGAAAAUCUUACUUUUCUACAGGUGGCAGACUUCAUGAGUGUUUUCCCCAUCCUCAAGCAGUGAUUGAGUAAAAGAGUU